CCCGGUGAAAAUAGCGGAGGGGAUACACCUGUUACCAUGCCGAACACAGCAGUUAAGCCCUCCUGCGCCUAUGGUACUGGGAGCGAAAGCUCCUGGGAGAGUAGGUCUUCGCCGGGC
rfam:Natranaerobius trueperi strain DSM 18760 ZB100090, whole genome shotgun sequence.